rnacentral:rRNA from 1 species
GAUGAACGCUGGCGGCGUGCCUAAUACAUGCAAGUCGAGCGAACGGACGAGAAGCUUGCUUCUCUGAUGUUAGCGGCGGACGGGUGAGUAACACGUGGAUAACCUACCUAUAAGACUGGGAUAACUUCGGGAAACCGGAGCUAAUACCGGAUGAUAUUUUGAGCCGCAUGGUUCAAAAGUGAAAGACGGUCUUGCUGUCACUUAUAGAUGGAUCCGCGCUGCAUUAGCUAGUUGGUAAGGUAACGGCUUACCAAGGCAACGAUGCAUAGCCGACCUGAGAGGGUGAUCGGCCACACUGGAACUGAGACACGGUCCAGACUCCUACGGGAGGCAGCAGUAGGGAAUCUUCCGCAAUGGGCGAAAGCCUGACGGAGCAACGCCGCGUGAGUGAUGAAGGUCUUCGGAUCGUAAAACUCUGUUAUUAGGGAAGAACAUAUGUGUAAGUAACUGUGCACAUCUUGACGGUACCUAAUCAGAAAGCCGCGGCUAACUACGUG